AUGACUCACCAUGAUAUACAACAAGAGGUGAUAAAAUGUUGUGCACAAGAGACUACUAAACUAGUCAUUGAGGAACUUGAUGGUGGUCAUUUUGCAAUACUUGCAGAUGAGUCUAGUGAUGUUUAUCAGAAUGAACAGUUGGUUGUUUGCUUGCGUUAUGUUGAUAAGAAAGGAAGGCCGGUUGUAAGAUUUCUUGGUCUUUCUCAUGUUGAAGAUACUACCUCUUUGACACUAAAAGCUGCAAUUCAGAAAAUGCUUUUGGACUACAAUUUGACCUUUGCAAUGGUUCGUGGGCAAGGAUAUGAUGGAGCUAGUAGCAUGAGAGGUAAUGCUAAUGGCCUGAAAAAACUGAUUAUGGAUGAGUCCCCUUCUGCCUACUAUGUUCAUUGUUUUGCCCAUCAACUACAGUUAACUAUUGUUGCUAUUGCUAAGGAGAGUGGUGAUUGUACUUGGUUCUUUCAGCAGCUUGCACACUUGUUAAAUGCUCUUGGCAUGUCUUGUAAAAAGAUGAGAAUGCUUCGGAUAGCUCAAGCUGAAGAACUCAUUGAUGCAUUGGAAUUGGAAGAAGUAGAAACAUGGAGUGGGCUGAAUCAGGAAAUGGGUUUGGGAAGACCAUGUGAUACACGUUGGAGCUCUCACUUCAAAACUGUGAACUGUGUCAUCUCUAUGUAUGGUACACUACGACGAGUCCUUCGCAAGAUUGGAGAUGAGUACCAUGGUGCGGAGGCACAAGCAGCUCUAUCCAUAGAGAAAAUAUUUCGAUCAUUUGAGUUUGUUUUCAUGGCACACUUGAUGCAAGAAAUAUUUGGAUACACAGAUGAGUUGUGCAGAGCUUUGCAAAAGCAAGACGAAGAUAUUGUUCAUGCUAUUGAGCUUGUUGGUGACACAAAGUAUUACUUGGAGGCUUUGAGGACCGAUGCUGGAUGGGAUGAUUUUCUCACAAAGGUCACAUCUUUUUGUACAAAGCAUAAGAUCAAAGUUGUUGAUAUGGAGGGUCCUUACUUUCCCGUUGGCCGCCCUAGAAGGGGUUUAUGUAAUGGUGUGAACAAUUACCAGCGCUUCAAGGUUGAUAUGUUUGUGGGUGUCACUGAUAGGCAAAUCAGUGAGCUGAAUGGCAGAUUCGAUGAGGUAAACACGGAGCUACUUUCUUGCAUGGCAGCAUUUUGUCCACUUCAUCUAUUUGCUGCUUAUGACCAAGAAAAGUUGGUUAGGCUUGCUACAAAGUUUUAUGCUUCUGAUUUUACAAGUGAUGAACUGGCAAGACUUCCAUGGCAACUAAACAUGUAUGUUACUAAUGUGCGUAGAGAUGAAAGGUUUUAAAAUCUAAAAAAUCUGUGUCAGCUUUCAGUUAUGCUUGUUGAGACAAACAAGCAUGAACAAUAUCAUAUUGUUUACAAGCUUCUUAAGUUUGUAUUGAUUCUGCUAGUAGCUACCGCUAGUGUUGAAAGGGUAUUCUCUUCAAUGAGCCAUGUGAAGAAUAAGCUAAGGAACAAAAUGGGUGAUGAAUAUUUGAACAAUUGCUUGGUUACAUUUGUUGAGAGAGAAUUUUUCGAUCAAGUGAAGGAUGAGGAUGUCAUCAAUCUUUUCCAAAAAGGCGACCGCAAAGUUAUAUUGUAA
rnacentral:rRNA from 1 species